rnacentral:rRNA from 1 species
AGAGUUUGAUCCUGGCUCAGGACGAACGCUGGCGGUGUGCUUCACACAUGCAAGUCGAACGAGGUAGCAAUACCUAGUGGCGGACGGGUGAGUAACGCGUGGGAAUCUGCCUUAAGAUGGGGGAUAGCUAACCGAAAGGUUAAUUAAUACCGCAUAAGCCUAUAUUUCGACAGUUUUAUAGGUAAAAAGAGUAAUCUGUC